GGCGAGCGGCGGACGGGUGAGUAAUGCCUGGGAAUAUGCCCUAGAUGUGGGGGAUAACCAUUGGAAACGAUGGCUAAUACCGCAUAAUCUCUUCGGAGCAAAGAGGGGGACCUUCGGGCCUCUCCCGUCAGGAUUAGCCCAGGUGAGAUUAGCUUGUUGGUGAGGUAAGAGCUCACCAAGGCAACGAUCUCUAGCUGGUCUGAGAGGAUGAUCAGCCACACUGGAACUGAGACACGGUCCAGACUCCUACGGGAGGCAGCAGUGGGGAAUAUUGCACAAUGGGGGAAACCCUGAUGCAGCCAUGCCGCGUGUAUGAAAGAAGGCCUUCCGGUUUGUAAGUACUUUCCAGUUGGGGAGGAAGGGCGUUGGGCCGUUAAUAGCGCGCAAUGGUUUGGCGCGUAAGCCACCAAAAAGAAGGCACCGGGUUUACUCCCGUGCCACGCGGCGCGGGUAAUUCGGAAGGGUGCGCGAGGGUUAUCGGAAUUUAUGGGGCGUAAAGCGGCAUGGCGGGCCGGUUUUGUUUAGCCCGAAGUGGAAAGCCCGGGGCUCACACCUCCGAAUAUACAUUUUGGAACUGCGAGGGCUUAAGAGUCUUGUUAGAAGGGGGGAGAUAAAUUUCACGGUGUAGCCGAUGAGAAUGCGUAAAGAUCUGAAAGAAUAACGGUGUGCGAAAGCGGCGCCCCUGCGACAAAGACUGAAGGCUCACAUGCGAAAAGCGUGGGGAGCAAACACGAUUAGAUACCCUGGUAGUCCACGCCCGUAAACGAUGUCUACUGGGUAGGCUGGAACAUCGAGUUCUGGCUUUCGGAGCUAACGCGUUAAGUUAAACCGCCUGGCGAGUACGGUCGCAAGACUUAAAACUUCAAAUGAAAUUGAUCGCGGGCCCGCACAAGCGGUGGAGCAUGUGGUUUAAUUCGAUGCAACGCGAAGAACCUUACCUACUCUUGACAUCCAGAGAAUUCGCUAGAGAUAGCUUAGUGCCUUCGGGAACUCUGAGACAGGUGCUGCAUGGCUGUCGUCAGCUCGUGUUGUGAAAUGUUGGGUUAAGUCCCGCAACGAGCGCAACCCCUAUCCUUGUUUGCCAGCACGUAAUGGUGGGAACUCCAGGGAGACUGCCGGUGAUAAACCGGAGGAAGGUGGGGACGACGUCAAGUCAUCAUGGCCCUUACGAGUAGGGCUACACACGUGCUACAAUGGCAUAUACAGAGGGCGGCCAACCAGCGAUGGUGAGCGAAUCCCACAAAGUAUGUCGUAGUCCGGAUUGGAGUCUGCAACUCGACUCCAUGAAGUCGGAAUCGCUAGUAAUCGUAGAUCAGAAUGCUACGGUGAAUACGUUCCCGGGCCUUGUACACACCGCCCGUCACACCAUGGGAGUGGGCUGCACCAGAAGUAGAUAGCUUAACCUUCGGGGGGGCGUUACCACGG
rnacentral:rRNA from 1 species